rnacentral:rRNA from 1 species
UACGUGGGGUGCAAGCGUUGUUCGGAAUUACUGGGCGUAAAGAGCUCGUAGGCGGUUUGUCGCGUCGAAUGUGAAAACCCGGGGCUCAACCCCGGGCCUGCAUUCGAUACGGGCAGACUAGAGUUCGGUAGGGGAGUCUGGAAUUCCUGGUGUAGCGGUGAAAUGCGCAGAUAUCAGGAGGAACACCGGUGGCGAAGGCGGGACUCUGGGCCGAUACUGACGCUGAGGAGCGAAAGCGUGGGGAGCAAACAGG